rnacentral:rRNA from 1 species
UACAGAGGGGGCAAGCGUUAUUCGGAAUUAUUGGGCGUAAAGGGCGCGUAGGCGGCUUUGCAAGUGGCGGGUGAAAUCCCUCGGCUUAACCGAGGAACUGCCUGUCAAACUGCAUGGCUUGAGACCAGGAGAGGUGAGUGGAAUUCCCAGUGUAGCGGUGAAAUGCGUAGAUAUUGGGAGGAACACCAGUGGCGAAGGCGGCUCACUGGACUGGUACUGACGCUGAUGCGCGAAAGCG